rnacentral:rRNA from 1 species
GAUGAACGCUGGCGGCGUGCCUAAUACAUGCAAGUCGAGCGAACGGACGAGAAGCUUGCUUUUCUGAUGUUAGCGGCGGACGGGUGAGUAACACGUGGAUAACCUACCUAUAAGACUGGGAUAACUUCGGGAAACCGGAGCUAAUACCGGAUAAUAUUUUGAACCGCAUGGUUCAAAAGUGAAAGACGGUCUUGCUGUCACUUAUAGAUGGAUCCGCGCUGCAUUAGCUAGUUGGUAAGGUAACGGCUUACCAAGGCAAUGAUGCAUAGCCGACCUGAGAGGGUGAUCGGCCACACUGGAACUAAGACACGGUCCAGACUCCUACGGGAGGCAGCAGUAGGGAAUCUUCCGCAAUGGGCGAAAGCCUGACGGAGCAACGCCGCGUGAGUGAUGAAGGUCUUCGGAUCGUAAAACUCUGUUAUUAGGGAAGAACAUAUGUGUAAGUAACUGUGCACAUCUUGACGGUACCUAAUCAGAAAGCCACGGCUAACUACGUG